rnacentral:lncRNA from 1 species
UUCAGUUAAUUUAAACAGAUAUCAGAACAUGCCUCUGAAAAACUGCUAAAUAUUAGCAGAUUUUUAACAUUUAAUGCAUGACACAUAAACAGCAUCUAAUCUUACAUUUCUACAUUUAUGUCUGACUGUGUUUCUCCUCCUUGUGCUUAACUGUCUGUGUGAGCUAGAGCUGCCUGAGUCUUACUUUCAGUUUUUAGAAGUGCAUUUAUAAUAAUAAUAAUAAUAAUAAUAAUGUUCUGAUCAUUCCUCUUCUGCAGCUUCAGCUGAUUCAACACUGAUUCCAGUCAGCAGCUCAAACUCUGAGAAGAAAUCAAGUCAAACUACAGCAGCUUCUACAGAACAAGAGACACAGACUCCUCAAACCCCCGAGACAACAGCUACACAGAGAGUGAUCGUGAUUGUUGUUGCUGUUGUGUUGGCUGUUCUGGUUACUGCUGUUAUUCUUUGGGUGGUUCGCAAAAAAAGAGCUGAUAACAGAAAAGGGACUAAUGACUUUGUGGAGCGGAAAGAUGAUGCAACUUAUACUGAGAUUGACACAAACUGGAAAAUCGGAGCCAAAAAUAACAAGGUGAGUAAAACUUCCCUGUUCUUCUGUUGAUGUUCACUAUCGCCAUCCACCUUCUCUUAACAGUUUGACACAAGUUUUAUUCUUAGGCUCUAACAUCAUGCUGUAAUAUUUGUGUGUUAACACUUGCAUCUUGUUUGACAAUAUUUGUGAUGUUCAUGCAGGUUCAUGACUAUGAAGUGGUUUAUUCUUUUAUCACACGAGCAACAGUUGAACCUCAGGAUGACUGCUUUUGUGAACAAGAACCAUCAGAAAUAAGUUAAACAGUCAUUAAUUAUACAAAGACCUCCUAAUAUCAAUCACAGAGAAAUAUGAACCUUAUAUUAUUGACUCCUAAAGGUUUCAUUCAGUCCCAUUGUAAAUACUGUCUCACAUUUUAACACACAUUCCCAAGUGGUGAUCUGAUUGAAAUGUUUUGGUCAAUUUGGGAUGUUUAUUUCAAAUUAACUGUCUGCUUGCUGAAUUAAUGCUAGUGCAUUUAUUAAUAAUUCUGGAUUGUGCAUCAACCUCUGUGCUUGUACAAAUAAAAUAAAAUACAUUUUCUCUCUUAGAUCAUUCUCAU